AUAAUUUCUGAAGAUGAUGACAUGGAAUCAACGUGGGAGAAGAGGCUGGUGAAAAGAUAUUAUGAUAAACUUUUCAAAGAAUAUUGCAUUGCUGAUAUGUCUCACUUCAAGGAAGGCAAGAUUGGCUUAAGAUGGAGGAUGGAAAAUGAGGUCAUAUCUGGGAAAGGUGAAUCCGGCCAAUUUGUAUGCGGUAACAAGAAAUGCAGUGAGAAAGAGAAUCUAGGAAGUUAUGAGGUAAAUUUUUCCUAUUUUGAAGCUGGAGAAAAUAAGCAAGCUCUAGUGAAAUUGGUGGCAUGUAAAAGAUGUGCAGAGAAACUUGUCUAUAGAAGGCAGAAAGAGAGGGAGCACAAGAAGAGCAGUGAUGUAGGCGCAAGCAAUAGGAAGAGGGGAAAAGACAAAAAUAUCGAUGACAAUGAUAUUGAUGAUGAAUACGAGGAUUCAAAUUUAAGGAAAAAAGAAGGUCGGGCAGGGAGCUGUCGAGCAAAGAGCUUCUGAAUUGCCGAACGGGAGGUCAAGCAUAGUUGCCAAACUAACAACUAACGAGCCGGGAGGUUGGGCAGGAAACUGCUGAACAGGAGGUUGAGUAGAGCUGUCGAUUGCCGGGCUAGGAGGCAAUGCUACCGAGUUGCUAGAUAGGGAGCAAGACUGUCAGAACAUGGCUCAACCACAUUAGCAACCAAGCACAAGCUACUUGUGGCGAACGGAUCUGUACUCUAAUGCUAUCACUGGAAAACAAGAGUUGCCAAGAAGGGCUGCCUAACAAGGAGGUGGAGGAUGUGGGGGAAGGAGUUGGAUCGACUCUUCAGUGUGUGCUUUAUGAACUCUUCCUUUUGCCCAAGGACGAAGGACUUCAACUUCAGGGACUAAAGCGCGAAUAGUUGAUGAAGAUUUCGAGGAGUUUUUAGAAGGAAUGUUCCCAUGACUUGAAUAUUU